rnacentral:rRNA from 1 species
UACGGAGGGAGCUAGCGUUAAUCGGAAUUACUGGGCGUAAAGCGUGCGCAGGCGGUUUUGUAAGUCUGACGUGAAAUCCCCGGGCUCAACCUGGGAAUUGCAUUGGAGACUGCAAGGCUAGAAUCUGGCAGAGGGGGGUAGAAUUCCACGUGUAGCAGUGAAAUGCGUAGAGAUGUGGAGGAACACCGAUGGCGAAGGCAGCCCCCUGGGUCAAGAUUGACGCUCAUGCACGAAAGCGUGGGGAGCAAACAGG